GCCAGUGUGGUGUAGUGGUUUAUUUUAGAGACAACUACAACUCUGGAGACCAGGGUUCGAUUCCCUGCUUGGCCA